AAAGCAGGCUGCAAUUACAGUGCUUCAUUCUGUGGGAGUACUGUCAUUUUCCUGCUGAGAGCAAUUUGGUUAAUGUCAUCUUUGGUUUUACCUGCAUGUUGGUGAAACCAUUUGUCCUUAACAUGUACAAGU
ensembl:snoRNA